rnacentral:rRNA from 1 species
GGCUUGAUAAGCCGGUUGUGAAAGCCCCGGGCUCAACCUGGGAACGGCAUCCGGAACUGUCAGGCUAGAGUGCAGGAGAGGAAGGUAGAAUUCCCGGUGUAGCGGUGAAAUGCGUAGAGAUCGGGAGGAAUACCAGUGGCGAAGGCGGCCUUCUGGACUGACACUGACGCUGAGGUGCGAAAGCGUGGGUAGCAAACAGGAUUAGAUACCCUGGUAGUCCACGCCGUAAACGAUGUCGACUAGCCGUUGGGGUCCUCGAGACCUUUGUGGCGCAGUUAACGCGAUAAGUCGACCGCCUGGGGAGUACGGCCGCAAGGUUAAAACUCAAAUGAAUUGACGGGGGCCCGCACAAGCGGUGGAGCAUGUGGUUUAAUUCGAUGCAACGCGAAGAACCUUACCUACUCUUGACAUCCAGCGAAGCCUUUAGAGAUAGAGGCGUGCCUUCGGGAGCGCUGAGACAGGUGCUGCAUGGCUGUCGUCAGCUCGUGUUGUGAAAUGUUGGGUUAAGUCCCGCAACGAGCGCAACCCUUAUCCUUGUUUGCCAGCACGUAAUGGUGGGAACUCCAGGGAGACUGCCGGUGAUAAACCGGAGGAAGGUGGGGACGACGUCAAGUCAUCAUGGCCCUUACGAGUAGGGCUACACACGUGCUACAAUGGCAGAUACAGAGGGCAGCGAAGCUGCGAAGUGGAGCGAAUCCCUUAAAGUUUGUCGUAGUCCGGAUUGGAGUCUGCAAC